GUGUCAGCAGCCGCGGUAAUACAGAGAGUGCAAGCGUUAAUCGGAAUCACUGGGCGUAAAGCGCACGUAGGUGGAUAUCUAAGUCGAGUGUGAAAUCCCCGGGCUUAACCUGGGAAUUGCAUUCGAUACUGGUUGUCUAGAGUAUGGUAGAGGGGAGUGGAAUUUCCGGUGUAGCGGUGAAAUGCGUAGAUAUCGGAAAGAACACCAGUGGCGAAGGCGGCUCCCUGGACCAAUACUGACACUGAUGUGCGAAAGCGUGGGGAGCAAACAGGAUUAGAUACCCGCGUAGUCC
rnacentral:rRNA from 1 species